UUUUCAAUGCAUGAUCUUUUGAAUGAUCUAGCAAAGUCAAUUGCGAGUGGGACAUGCUUUAACUCUGAGUCUCAGCUGGCAGAUAAUGAAGAUGAUGCAUCUCCUGGAAAAGUUCGUUAUGCAUCAUUCACCUCAUCGCAUUAUGUUUUAUCAAAAUGCAUAAGAGCAUAUCAUCAAAUGAAGGUACUAAGAAGUUUAAUAUUCUUGUAUGAUGGAUCUGGUUGGGAUCGCAAAUUCUACAUUUCCAACAAAGUGCUACAUGACUUGCUAACAAAAUUAAAGUACUUAAGGGGGUUCUCCUUAAGUCAUUGUUACAUCAUUGAGGUCCCAGAUUGUGUUGGUGAUUUAAAAUAUCUUCGCUAUCUCAAUUUCUCGUACACAAAAAUAAAAAGGCUACCUGAGUCAAUCAGCAACUUGUGCAAAUUACAAGCUUUGAUCUUGAAAGGUUGUCAAGAGCUUUCUUCAUUGCCUCAAGGAGUUACAAAAUUGGUCAGCUUACAGUUUCUUGAUAUUAGAGAUACAGGGAGUCUAAAGGAGAUGCCAUUGAGCAUCGGUAAUUUGAAGAAUCUUAUGAUCUUGUCCAAGUUUGUGGUAGGAUCAGAUAAAGGGUCACAGUUAAAGGAGUUAAAGAACUUGCCAUACCUUCAAGGAGAAUUGUUCAUAUCAGAAUUGCAAAAGGUGGAAGCAGUCAAAGAUGCAGUCAAAGAUGCAGUCGAUGCUAAUUUAAUUACAAAGAGAGGCCUUAGCAACUUAUUCUUGCAUUGGGGUGAAAAUUUUGGAAAUAUGCGAAAUGAGAAGCAUGAAGCACUGGUGCUUCACUCUUUGCGACCUCACACUAAUCUUGAACAUCUCUCUAUCUCGCACUAUGGUGGUGCAAGAUUCCCCUCAUGGUUAGAUGGUCCAUCUUAUUCUAAGAUAGUUUCGUUAUGCUUACGGGACUGUCCUAAUGUCACAUCGCUUCCGCCACUUGGACAACUACCUUCACUUAGAGAAUUAUCUCUUGAAGGUCUACAUGCAAUAAGCAAGAUAGGCCCUGAAUUUUACGGAGGCAAAAAGCCUUUUUCAUCCUUAACAACUUUGAAGUUGGAAGAGAUGUUGGCAUGGAAGGAUUGGUCCCAUUGUGUUGGGGGUCAAGAAGAAGAUGUCCCAUUCUCUUGUCUUCAGCAUCUAGUUGUCCGAGGAUGUCUUUCAUUGGUCGGGACAUUGCCUGGUCAACUUGAUCUUCUCAAGAAGCUAGAAAUUCAUUCAUGCUCGCAUUUGAAUAGCUCAACCAAUGUGGUUUGUCUCCCAUCUCUCUCUAAGUUAUCCCUUGAGGAUUGUAACGAGGAGAUCUUAAAAAUCUUGGUCAACCUAACCUCUUUGACUGUUCUCAGAAUUGUGAAUCUUGCAGAGCUUGUUUGCCUUGAUCAUGGGUUUACGAGCUACUUGGUUCAUUUAAAGAAGCUUUAUAUAGGACGGUGUGACAAGCUAGAACACUUGUGGCAAAAUGGAAAUGAGAUACAAAAUCUUGGUUGCCUUCAGAGUGUAGUCAUUGAUAGUUGUCCUCAAUUCACAUCUUUUGUGGCUGGAGACAGAGAAAUGGAGCUAUCCUGCAACCUUGAAAAGAUGAAAUUGAGAAAUUGCACGAGUUUACAAAAGCUUCCAAGCAAGAUGUACAAAUUAAGAGAUUUGAACAUUGAGAAUUGUCCAAAAAUCAUGGGACUAAGAAUUUCUCAAGAUGACCCCGGUAGCAAUAACUUGAUAUCUCAACUUGAAUUUCUUAACAUAAGUAAAUGUGAUUCUUUGAUAUCAUUUCCGUUUGCCAAGGGUAGACUUGCUUCUCUUAAGCAACUUAUUAUUGAGAAGUGUGAGGGGGUGGAGUCCCUUAAAGAGAUCAUAGCAGAAUCGUUGGAUUGUUUGAGUAUAAAGAGAUGCGAGAAUUUGGUGAGUCUACCGCGAUGCCUUCACACGCUCUCCCAUCUCACUUGGUUGAGUAUACACAUGUGUCCAUCAUUGGAGAUAGAGGACUUUCCUCCCCUUCCCAACACCCUGGUGAGACUUGAACUUUGCUCGCUUCCUAAGAUGAAGUCUCUACCAAAGGAGUGGCAUCAUCUUACGUCCCUCCGGUGGCUAGUAAUUUCGGGCUGUGAAAAUAUCAAAUGCUUGCCCGAAGGAGGUUUGCCUCCCAAUUUGCGGGAGUUUUUUAUUUGGGGGUGCGAGAAUAUGAAGCAACCAGUGAGAGAAUGGGGCUUACCCAUGCUCACAUCCCUCGAGCGUAUGCUAAUGGAGGGAAACAGCAUGGGAGGGGAGGGAGACAAGGUGUGGUUUCCUUCUGAGGAAGACAACGAGGAUGCCUGGAGUCUUCUCUUUCCUUCCUCUCUAACCUAUCUUCACUUGAGAAAUAUGAGGAAUGUGGAAAGACUAUCAAGCGGUCUUCGCAACCACUCUCUCCGAGCGUUAAGGAUUUCCGAUUGCCCGAAGUUGAGGUACUUCCCCGAGGAUGGCCUCCCUCCCUCCUUCCGCCAAUUGUCCAUAUAUAAAUGCGAGAAUCUGAAAGAUCGAUGCUUAAAACACACCGGCGACUAUUGGCCCCUCAUCCAAGAGAUCCCUCUCAUCUACAUUGAUGGCGUUCGGAUCCAAUAAAUUGAUUCAUCCUGGUACGGUCAGCUUUGCGAGGGCUCGGGUAAGUUUAUGGUCUUGAAAGCAUCGGUUUCCAUUAUGUUUCCUCAACUCGAUGCUCAAUGCAAAUCGAUUUCCCCGUGGAGAUGCUCCACAUGAAUUUCCAGAAAUCCAAGAAAUCCUCAACGUCGGCAUCGAUUGGGUUCUCAAAUCCGAUGAAGUGAAAUCGAUCCACUUUCGCUUUCAUUUGCUAACCGCCGCAAUUCGAUCCCUUCCAUCUACGGUCGGAUUUCUAAGGGUUCGGACGUUUGCUUCUUGUGUUGAAGUACUACUGAAAUUCAGAGCUGAAAAAUUGAUGAUUAGCUGCUUGAAUAUCCAGCAAGAGUUGAUGAUGAUGAUAUUCUUGUAUGCCACAACUGCAUCCGUGUCCACUACUGCCUUGGGCUGGCUUUUUCUCUUUAGCCACCGCAAAGCUCUUUCGAACGGCAAGCAAUUCAGCCUCCUCUGCAGGCAACCAUCUCCCCUGUUUCAAUUCUGGCCUCAAUCCCAACAAUUUUUGUGCGAAUAUGGAUACGAGAUUCUGAAAAAUCGAGAUGUUCGAAUGUCACUGGCGACUAUUGGCCCCUCAUCUAAGAGAUCUCUUUCAUCAGCAUUGAUAGCUGUCGGAUGCAAUGAAGUAAAAUCAAUCAUGCCCGAGCCAUGAUAAAAGAUUUGUCUCCGUUGACUGCUUUUUAUUCCUCAGGGAGUUCUGGAACAAAAGCUUCGAUCUCACUUGUGUUCCUUUGGUGUAACGGGAAAUCUUGCAGUUCAACCAAUAUAUACCUUGUUUGAUACAUCUCCUCCCUCUCUGCUACAAUAGGAUGCGUAAAUUUUUUGUUGAAGUAAUUUUGGAUGACAUUGUGAAGUUCUAUUAGAGGUGGUCAGAAAAUCAGAGCUGCAUUUACUGAGAUUCAGGGAGCCUCCAUAGUUUUGCUCGACGAGCCAUCCAAUCAUUUGGAUUUGGAUGAAGUUGAGGCACUCAUUCAAGGUCUGGUCUUGUUCCAAGGAGGAAUUCUGAUGGUUAUUCAUGAUGAGCAUCUAAUAUCUGGAAGCAUAGACAAGAUCUGGGUGAUUUCUCAAGGCAAGGUGGCGCCUUUCCAUGGGAAUUUCCAGGAUCAUAAGAAGAUACUUCAGUCCUCAUUGAAUCAGGGGAGUUUAGCUCUUGUCAUCAACCAAGACUAAGAGUGGUUCUACAGGAUCAAUCACAUUACCUUACAAAACUUAAAACGAGGCUUUGUUACAGAGAGAAAGCAAAAAAGGAUGAAGAGAGGAUUGCUGCUGAUAUACAGGAUGUACUCACAGUUACAGCGGCCCUCAUUUGUCAUUUUGAUUAGGGCUCAUGGAAGGAUAGAGUCUUAAGUUUUUGACAUUGAAUAUGCAGUAUCAUUUGCCAGUAGCUUGAAAAACUGAGUCUGGAUUGCAGUCCUGAUACCAUGGUGAUCUGUAUUGGCAAAAUCUCUUGGGAGGAUCACAUGCGAACGUUGCUGAGUUAUGAAAGACAUCUCUGGAAAGUUUGCAUUUGUGCUCUUGGACGGCCCUACGAAACCACUUUACUGGCUGCUGAUGUUGGUGGAAGUGUCCCUUUCUUCUGGGGAAGUGAUUGCGAAGGCAAUCUUGUUCCCUCGGACGAUGCAGAAGUCGUGAACAAGGGCCGUGGGAAACUGUUGCACCAUUCCCUAAAGCUCUGGAGGUUUGCGGAGUUAUAGCACCCACCUUAUGAGGUGAAGCCAGUUCCUGGGGUGGAUAGCUUGGGCCGAGUGCGGGCGGUACCACAUUCAAAGUGGUGCAGAGACUAAGGAGUCUUAACAUAACUAGAGUUGGGAGUGCUGCGAACUGGUCCUUGCACUACCUAGUCACAUGGUUUGUGGCCCUUUUUUGGCCAGGCCAUUAGCUAUUUGAUGGCUUUCUGUUGCCUACUACCCAGUCACCCUUUCUCAUACAUUGACAAUUUUCAGCUCUAAUGGUCGGUUGCUCCAUGUUGAGAGUUUGAGAUGACGUUUUAUGCAGCUGUAUUUGUUGCUUAUAAAACCAAGCCUCUCCAGAACCUGAUCAUGCUAUGUGCAACAAUAUCUUUCUAGCAUUUCAUUAAGCCAUCAUGCAGAGUUCAUUCAAUGUAAUGUUUUUUCGCUCAGAUGUCUAUUAUGUAACUAUAAUCUACCAGUAAUGCUUAGAAAAAUUCUUGAUAUCCACUUCUUUUUGUUUAA